GACGAACGCUGGCGGCGUGCUUAACACAUGCAAGUCGAACGGAAAGGCCCUGCUUUUGUGGGGUGCUCGAGUGGCGAACGGGUGAGUAACACGUGAGUAACCUGCCCUUGACUUUGGGAUAACUUCAGGAAACUGGGGCUAAUACAGGAUAGGAGCUCCUGCUGCAUGGUGGGGGUUGGAAAGUUUCGGCGGUUGGGGAUGGACUCGCGGCUUAUCAGCUUGUUGGUGGGGUAGUGGCUUACCAAGGCUUUGACGGGUAGCCGGCCUGAGAGGGUGACCGGCCACAUUGGGACUGAGAUACGGCCCAGACUCCUACGGGAGGCAGCAGUGGGGAAUAGUGCGCAAUGGGCGGGAGCCUGAUGCAGCAACGCCGCGUGCGGGAUGACGGCCUUCGGGUUGUAAACCGCUUUCGCCUGUGACGAAGCGUGAGUGACGGUAAUGGGUAAAGAAGCACCGGCUAACUACGUG
rnacentral:rRNA from 1 species